UCCCUGGUGGCUCAGAGGGUAGAGUGCCUGCCUGAAAAGCAGGAGAUCGGGGUUCGAUCCCUGGGUCGGGAA
rfam:Ovis aries breed Texel chromosome 4, whole genome shotgun sequence.